UGAUUUUCUCCAUUUUUGAUUUCUUGGUAAGCUUUCAAGGAUUUGAAUCUCGUAAAAUGCCCUAAUUCUGAAGCCUCUUGAUUGGAAUUUUGAAAGAUGAAGGCAGAAAGGAGGAGCGAGACCUGAGAGUGCUGCCACGUUUCCUAGUGUCAUUGCCCUUUUUUAACCGCGAAAUCACUCUGGCCAGUUACCAUUUUACGCUAGUAAACCACUGUAACAUUCGAAAAGAGCAAGCAAUUAUGUUUCAACUAGGCCAUAAUGAUUGCACACUGAAGGCCUCU
rnacentral:misc_RNA from 1 species